AUUGAACGCUGGCGGCAGGCUUAACACAUGCAAGUCGAGCGGGGUGAUGGUGCUUGCACUAUCACUUAGCGGCGGACGGGUGAGUAAUGCUUAGGAAUCUGCCUAUUAGUGGGGGACAACAUCUCGAAAGGGAUGCUAAUACCGCAUACGUCCUACGGGAAGAAAGCAGGGGAUCACUUGUGACCUUGCGCUAAUAGAUGAGCCUAAGUCGGAUUAGCUAGUUGGUGGGGUAAAGGCCUACCAAGGCGACGAUCCGUAGCGGGUCUGAGAGGAUGAUCCGCCACACUGGGACUGAGACACGGCCCAGACUCCUACGGGAGGCAGCAGUGGGGAAUAUUGGACAAUGGGGGGAACCCUGAUCCAGCCAUGCCGCGUGUGUGAAGAAGGCCUUAUGGUUGUAAAGCACUUUAAGCGAGGAGGAGGCUACUGAGACUAAUACUCUUGGAUAGUGGACGUUACUCGCAGAAUAAGCACCGGCUAACUCUGUGCCAGCCGCCGCAGUAA
rnacentral:rRNA from 1 species